rnacentral:misc_RNA from 1 species
AAGUCGUAACAAGGUUUCCGUAGGUGAACCUGCGGAAGGAUCAUUGACAAAUCUAAACACACUUGUUGCUUGGAGUGCGCGCUGUGAGGGUGCUUACACUCUUGCACGCGCCUUCAAGUAUACAACAUUCUAACCUGUGAAUUGGCAGUGCGCAUGUGCUGUUGUUUUGGCGGUGGUUUGGGUUGCUGUGAGAAGAAGAAGUAGAUGCGGAUGAUGUACUUGCUUACGUUAUCCUAUCUAUCAAUCUCUCUUGUUUCUCCUUCCUGCCUGCCUAACAUUUACGUAAACUAUUGUCUUACACACAACAAAUAACAAAAUACAACUUUUAGCAAUGGAUCUCUUGGCUUCU